rnacentral:rRNA from 1 species
CCUACGGGAGGCAGCAGUGGGGAAUAUUGCACAAUGGGGGAAACCCUGAUGCAGCGACGCCGCGUGAGUGAAGAAGUAUCUCGGUACGUAAAGCUCUAUCAGCAGGGAAGAAAAAAAGUCUUUGGCUUUGGACGGUACCUGACUAAGAAGCCCCGGCUAACUACGUGCCAGCAGCCGCGGUAAUACGUAGGGGGCAAGCGUUAUCCGGAUUUAUUGGGUUUAAAGGGUGCGCAGGCGGUCUGUUAAGUCAGCGGUCAAAGCCCGGGGCUCAACCCCGGCCCGCCGUUGAAACUGGCAGUCUCGAG